rnacentral:lncRNA from 1 species
AGUAGAUGAGGUCUUGCUAUGUUGCCGAGACUUAACCUCAAACUCCUAGGCCCAAGCAAUCCUCCCAAGCUGCUGGGACUACAGGCAUGAACCACCAUGCCCAACUUAGACUUUUAUUGUACUAUCAAAAGGCAAUUUUCUUUUCAAAUUUCUGGGUAAUAGUGUUAGAAAAAUCCUACUUGGUAACAUCCAGAAAUGGCAUCAUACUGAGUGAUUCAAAUGUGAGAUGGAAGAAAAGGUUAGAAUUGGAGUGAACGUCCCCUCUUAUCUCAAAUGUAUUUUAUCUCCAUUUUGUUUCAUAGUUUAUUAGUUUGAAGAUGCUUUGAAUGUCACCUAAUCAUUUUCAACUCUAGGUCCAGAAAAAUCAAGGGCAUGAUUUCUGAAAUUACACUUAGCCUAAUUAAAACUUAGAAACACUGUUCACCUUCUUCAAUGUUUUUGACUGAGUCUUUUUCAUUUAUAAGUGACAGGAGGUGUUACUAUAACAUUAUUUCCUAGAAUGUCAAAUUUUGAGCCUAAUAGCAUGGUAAAUUUGGCUAUAUUUGUUGUUUUUUGUUUUUGUUUUUUUUUUAAUGAAACUUAGUAUUUCCUUGUUUCCCACUUCUUUUUUUUUUUUUUUUUUUUUUUUUUUUGAGACGGAGUCUCUCUCUGUCAUCCAGGCUGGAGUGCAAUGGCGUGAUCUUGGCUCACUGCCACCUCCGCCUCGCAGGUUCACGCUAUUCUCCUUUCACAGCCUCCUGAGUAGCUGGGACUACAGGCACCCACCACCACGCCCGGCCAAUUUUUUUGUAUUUUUAGUAGAGACGGGGUUUUACCAUGUUAGGCAGGAUGGUCUCGAACUCCUGACCUUGUGAUCUGCCCGCCUCAGCCUCCCAAAGUGCUGGGAUUACAGGCGUGAGCCACCGCACCUGGCCUCCCACUUCUUUUUAAUAUGUCGUGUCAUAACUGAACAGUAAAGUGAGCAGAUUAUCAGGUUAAAUCUGAAGUGUCAGUCUGGUCACCAGUGCCCAAGUUACUGCCCCUAUGGUAAUAUUGGUUACUUUGUAUUUUCCUACAGCAAACAUAAAAUUUGUUAUAGUGAGAUUUUUACCUGUAUACCUCUCUUAACUUUAAUGUUAUUACCUCAAGGAAGAUAUUAUCAUGAAUGAAGAUUCCAUGAUGAAAGUUUUGCAGAGUUUAUUGCAGUAAUUUAGUACUUCAUUAGAAUCUUUAGUUUUUUAGGAGCACAGUACUGAAUGUUUGUUUCUUUGUUGGACCUUUUGAAAACCGGUUUUCCAUUGAUGCAGUGUAGCUGUUACAGGAAUAUCAUUUUUAAAACGUUUUUAUACAGCAUGGCUGAAAAUUGAACCUGGGCCUCCCUCGUGGCCUACCAUUGAAGGAACAGCAUUUUUUGCCUAUCUAGAAAGACAAUGUUAAAUGUGCUAUCUAUAUAUUUUUUAACUUGUGCUACCUACUACGCGUUUAUAUUUGUGGAAUCUGUUUUCUUUUGGACAAAACCACAAAUCAAAAACACCUCAUUUCUUAGGCAUUUGAAAUCCCUAAUUCAGAAUAAUCUCCCAAACAGAAACACAACUACCUGCAUUCUUUUUGACAAAAGAGCUAAGUAGCAUUAGAAAAUUAUUUUAAACCCAAUUCUGUUUUUUAACAGAAUAAAAUUCUUCUGUUCUUCACAUUCUUCUUUCAUAGGUAACCUAUUGAAAGUAGGGUUUAUUUGGGGGAAGCAUUUCUUUCUGUCUCUUAUCUCAUAAUAAAUACAGGUGUGCUUAACUACUAGUUUCCUACCUCAAAGAUAUACUCAAAUCUAAAGAUGUUUAAGAUUUUGGGAUCUGAAGAGUAAACAUUUCUCCUAAUCACAAUGUGACAGAGACAAAUGAAUCAAGCCAAUGCUACUUUUAUUUAUGCAUACUAACUGGAACUUUUCUUUUUGGAAAUCAGAUACAUUUUGUAUGUAUUAGUAAUUUGGAAUCCUGCAUUGGUUAUCCUCGCCCUCCCAAAGCAGAUUCUGAAAUUAUAAAGGUGCACAGGUUCUCCAUGCAACACCAAAAGUUAUAUUUUCCAAGGCUUUGUAAAAUUGUAGAAUGUCCUGUUAAAUUUCUGUCAAAUCAGUAACUCACACUGUUUUGAGAAUUAUGAAUAAAGGAAUAAAAUAUUGUUAGUGUUUAUUUAGUACAAAAGUAGAUUAUAGAAUCUCAGCAUUUUUGUCAAAAAAUUUCUUUUUGAUGAUUGACAGAUCAGGAGACACUUAAGGCCAUACCUGCUUUCAGUAAUCAAAAAUGCAUUUAAGAUCCAGAAACUUGAGGUAGCAGAACAUCACUAUCACAUAUAACAUAUCCUUUGGUAUAGAAAAUUAUAUUCCCAGAGUGAGUUUCUUUUUUAAAACCAUUAAUGAGGCCAAGGUGGGAAGAUCACUUGGGACCAGGAGUUCAAGACCAGCCUGGGCCAGAUGGCGAGACCCUGUCUCUACAAAAAAUUAACUGGAUGUGGUGGUGCACUCCUGUAGUCCCACCUACUCAGAGGCUGAGGCAGGAGGAUCCCUUGAGCCCAGGAAAUUGUAGUGGCAGUGAGCUAUGAUCAUACUACUGUACUGCAGUCUGGGCCACGAAGUGAGACCGUGUCUCUUAAAAAAAAAAAAAUGUUAGGCAUGGUGGCACAGGCAUAUAGUUUUAGCUACUUAGGAGGCUGAGGCAGGAGGAUCACUUGAGCCCAGAAGUUCAAGAUUACAGUGAGUUAUGAUUGUGCCGCUGCACUCCAACCUGGGUGACAAAAUAACCCUGUCUCUGGCGGGUAGGGGGGAAGUUGAUUAUUUACUUUGAAAUAUGUUCAAAACUGAUUCCUG